AAAGUGGAGGAAAAGAAACUAACAAGGAUUCCCCUAGUAACGGCGAGUGAAGCGGGAUGAGCUCAAAUUUAAAAUCUGGCAGUCUAAGAUUGUCCGAGUUGUAGUCUAGAGAAGCGUUUUCCGCGUAGGCCUGUGUACAAGUCCCUUGGAAUAGGGCGUCAUAGAGGGUGAGAAUCCCGUCCUUGACACAGAUCAUCUAUGCUCUGCGAUGCGCUCUCGAAGAGUCGAGUUGUUUGGGAAUGCAGCUCAAAAUGGGUGGUAAAUUCCAUCUAAAGCUAAAUAUUGGCGAGAGACCGAUAGCGAACAAGUACCGUGAGGGAAAGAUGAAAAGCACUUUGGAAAGAGAGUUAAACAGUACGUGAAAUUGUUGAAAGGGAAACGAUUGAAGUCAGUCAUGUGGUUUGAGGUUCAGCCGGUUCUGCCGGUGUAUUCCUCAGACUACAGGCCAGCAUCAGUUUCGACCGGUGGAAAAAGUUGGAGGGAACGUGGCAUCCUCGGAUGUGUUAUAGCCCUCUUUCACAUGCAUCGGACGGGACUGAGGAACGCAGCGUGCCUUUAUGGUCGGUCUUCGGACACGAACGCGCUUAGGAUGCUGGCAUAAUGGCUUUAAACGACCGUCUUGAACCAAC
rnacentral:rRNA from 1 species